GUACUGUCAUGUAUUGUCAUGUUGUGUCUUGUUUCUGUCCUUUCCCUUCACCCUGUCUCCCUCUGCUGGUCGUUAUUAGGUUACCUUUUCUCCCCCUCUUUCCCCCAGCUGUUCCUUGUCUCCUCCUAACUACCUCGUCACCCCUUUUCCCACCUGUUCCCUUUUUCCCUCUGAUUAGGUCUCUAUUUCUCUCUCUGUUCCUGCUUCUGUCUUUGUCAGAUUCUCGUUUGAGUUUCUCAUGCCAGAACCAAACUAUCGUCUCGUUUGCUUCAUUCCUGUCCUGUCGGAAUCUGCCUGUUCAUCUGAGGCUACGUGUGAUCAGGUACCUCUGUCCUCUACAACCCAGCUAUUCUCCUCUGCUGCUAGAAGGGGAACUCUUCUGUGAUAUUCAGAAGGACUUUAUUUUUCAUUUGUCGCCCUCUCUGAGGUUGUUUAUUUUGCCAUCAUAUACAUUUGAAGAGGAUCUAUGUCUUACCUGUGUUUUGACAUUAAAGGACUCUGUUUUUGUUAAACCGCUUUUGGGUCCUCACUCACGUGCAUAACACCUUUAGCUCAGUGCAAAUGUUGCCUCUAAUCCAUGGCUUCUGGUUGGGGUAUGUACGUACAGUCACUGUGGGGACGAUGUCCUCAAUGCACUUAUUGAUAAAGCCAGUGACUGAUGUGGUGUACUCCUCAAUGCCAUUGGAAGAAUCCCAGGACAUAUUCCAGUCUGUGCUAGCAAAACAGUCCUGUAGUUUAGCAUCUGCUUCAUCUGACCAUUUUGUUUAUAGACCGAGUCACUGGUGCUUCCUGCUUUAAUUUUUGCUUGUAAGCAGGAAUCAGGAGGAUAGAAUUAUGGUCAGAUUUGCCAAAUGGAGGGUGAGGGAGAGCUUUGUGCUCAUCUCUGUGUAAAGGUGAUCUAUACUUUUUCCCCCCCAGGUUGUGCAUUUGUGCUGAUAGAAAUUAGGUAAAACUGAUUUCCCUGCAUUAAAAUCCCCGGCCACUAGGAGCACCGCCUCUGGGUGAGCGGUUUCCUGUUUGCUUAUUUCCUUAUACAGCUGAUACAGCAGCUAUACAGACUGAGUGUGGUCUUACGGAUUCCGUCAACAAUCAUUCGUCAUUGACUGAAACCCUCUGGAAUAGACAAACACAUGCAUUUUAUAGGCCUAUCAUGAAAGCCACUGCUAUUUAACAUAGAACAGAUCAGUAACUCAAAUAUUUUACAUAUUGGUGUGUAAAAGAAAUGGGGACAGAAUGAAUUAAGUAAAGUAAAUUAUUUUUCAGUCAGAUAAAGUGAAUAUACGUUUGGGUGAGCUGAUGCCUAGUUGAGGGCAGUGCACUGGUGAUUC
rnacentral:lncRNA from 13 species